GACGAACGCUGGCGGCGUGCCUAAUACAUGCAAGUAGAACGCUGAAGAGAGGAGCUUGCUCUUCUUGGAUGAGUUGCGAACGGGUGAGUAACGCGUAGGUAACCUGCCUUGUAGCGGGGGAUAACUAUUGGAAACGAUAGCUAAUACCGCAUAACAAUGGAUGACACGUGUCAUUUAUUUGAAAGGGGCAAUUGCUCCACUACAAGAUGGACCUGCGUUGUAUUAGCUAGUAGGUGAGGUAACGGCUCACCUAGGCGACGAUACAUAGCCGACCUGAGAGGGUGAUCGGCCACACUGGGACUGAGACACGGCCCAGACUCCUACGGGAGGCAGCAGUAGGGAAUCUUCGGCAAUGGGGGCAACCCUGACCGAGCAACGCCGCGUGAGUGAAGAAGGUUUUCGGAUCGUAAAGCUCUGUUGUAAGUCAAGAACGAGUGUGAGAGUGGAAAAUUCACACUGUGACGGUAGCUUACCAGAAAGGGACGGCUAACUACGUGCCAGCAGCCGCGGUAAUACGUAGGUCCCGAGCGUUGUCCGGAUUUAUUGGGCGUAAAGCGAGCGCAGGCGGUUUGAUAAGUCUGAAGUUAAAGGCUGUGGCUCAACCAUAGUUCGCUUUGGAAACUGUCAAACUUGAGUGCAGAAGGGGAGAGUGGAAUUCCAUGUGUAGCGGUGAAAUGCGUAGAUAUAUGGAGGAACACCGGUGGCGAAAGCGGCUCUCUGGUCUGUAACUGACGCUGAGGCUCGAAAGCGUGGGGAGCGAACAGG
rnacentral:rRNA from 1 species